CUUCAUGUGGAUAACUAUGGAGAUCGGACGUGUGUGUGGCUUAAGAAACCUGAUAAAUCUAUGAUCAUCAACUAUAGUGUAGAUCAACCGACACUCAAGUGUUGAGAUCUAAUCUCAAAUUUUAUUGUAGAUGUUGGUGCAAAAACCCGCCUGCGUCGGAGAAGCUAGAGUUGUGGGGGUUGCGGUCGCCGCCGGGACCUGCAAAAGAAG
rnacentral:lncRNA from 1 species